rnacentral:lncRNA from 1 species
CUGGAGUAGGUGCUGGGAGUAUGUUGUGUGCUUGCAACGCGUACAGCCCUGUGCAUGUGCAUGCCGUGGCGGGCAGUGGCGUCAGCAAGUAGUGCUGUGCCGGAGCUGGGACAUAGGCUGGGGGCAACAGCAACCUCACCCCGCACGCUGUAACAAUGGCACAUCCCGUGCGGCAGAAUAUUUAGCUGUGCCGGAGCUGGGACGUAGGCUGGGGCAACAGCAACCUCAACCCGCACGCUGUAACAAUGGCACAUCCCGUGUGGCAGAAUAUUUAGCUGUGCCGGAGCCGGGACGUAGGCUGGGGCAACAGCAACCUCACCCCGCACGCUGUAACAAUGGCACAUCCCGUGCGGCAGAAUAUUUAGCUGUGCCGGAGCUGGGACGUAGGCUGGGGCAACAGCAAC